CAGGGGCCCUAUCUUUCUUGAGGAUUAUAUUGCAAAGAGGGGAUGGCUCCAAGUUCCUUGGGAAAGACAUGCCUGGGUUGUAGAAGAUUUACACCUUAAAGAGGGAAUAUUUUUUGUACAUAGACAUGAAGUCAACUGAUCCCUGUUAUUUGAUUCACUUUGAGCCCUUCAGUCAUGAGCAAUGUCCACUGAACUGCAGAUUCUCAUCAGAGAACAAGGCCACCCGUGAAGACAGACCAUGAUGUCUGGCACUGUUACCCUGAGGAGCUGACCUUGACACUGCAGAGCUGGAGUUUCCUAAUUAUGACAACAUGGAGAGGGAAACAUCUGCACUGCCACGGCUGAAUGGCAGCAGCUUUCUUGUGCAGUGAGAACAUCUGAUGUACUGCUCAUGGCCUUGAACACAUAUUUAAGACACCUGAGAAAACACAGUGCACCUGGGAGACUACAGUGAUGACCAGCAGGAGGACAAGAUGAAGAGACUGAAGUAUCCUCCUUACCCAGGGCCCCCGUUAACCAAACCAGUUGGUGUCAAAACAAAACAAAAAAAAAUCAAAGGAUGUACCUAAAGAGGCAUCAACCUGUUUUAGCCAAGUGGCUUGUUUGUUAAUUUCUUGUAUUUGAGUUUCUACCAUACCGGAGGUGUUGAUCCCAGUGCGGCAGAAGAUAUUUGCUAUGGCACAGAUUCCUUGUUGUUAACAAGUAAUCCAAAGCAAUUCUAUUAUCUAAAAACCACCUUAGAAAGAAAGCACAGGGACUUUUGUUGUGCAGUUAUGGCCUUACAGGUAGAAUCAGCAAUAGU